rfam:Dictyocaulus viviparus strain HannoverDv2000 D_viviparus-1.0_Cont1217.1, whole genome shotgun sequence.
ACCGGGUGCCGUGUAGGGCGGCUGUGAGCCAGUGUCUAGGCGGUGGAUCGGUGUGGAUGGAGUGAGGGGAGGAGUCCCGCAGUGGCCGUGGAGUGCGGCGACCGGGCGUCGGUGUCAAGCGCUGCGUCGCCAGGGUUGUGCCAUCGGGGGAUGGCAUGUCCCGAGCGGUCAAGAAGUGGUGUACGGCUCAGGACCGAAAGGGAGCAAGCAAAAAUCACGGCGCGAUACAGUGACUGGACAACGCCCAUGAGCACCCGCUCUGUCGUGGCCUCUCCGAUACCUUCAGACCUCCAAUCGU